AUACGGAGGGUGCAAGCGUUACUCGGAAUCACUGGGCGUAAAGCGCGCGCAGGUGGCCUGAUAAGUUGGAUGUGAAAGCCUACGGCUCAACCGUAGAACUGCAUCCAAAACUGUCAGGCUAGAGUGUGGGAGAGGAAGAUGGAAUUAGUUGUGUAGGGGUAAAAUCCGUAGAGAUAACUAGGAAUACCAAAAGCGAAGGCGAUCUUCUGGAACAGUUCUGACGCUGAGGCGCGAAAGCGUGGGGAGCAAACAGGAUUAGAAACCCCGGUAGUCC
rnacentral:rRNA from 1 species